rnacentral:tRNA from 1 species
GCAGUCGUGGCCGAGUGGUUAAGGCGAUAGACUAGAAAUCUAUUGUGCUCUGCCCGCGCAGGUUCGAAUCCUGCCGACUGCG